AGCAGCCGCGGUAAUUCCAGCUCCAAUAGCGUAUAUUAAAGUUGCUGCAGUUAAAAAGCUCGUAGUUGAAUUUCGGGACCAUCAUGUCGGUCGUGCCUCGGUACGUACUGGCAUUGUUGGUUUCUACCUUCUGACGAACCAUGAUGUCAUUUAUUUGGUGUCGUGGGAAAUCAGGACUGUUACUUUGAAAAAAUUAGAGUGUUUAAAGCAGGCUCACGCUUGAAUACAUUAGCAUGGAAUAAUGAAAUAGGACGUUUGAUUCUAUUCUGUUGGUUUCUAGGAUCGACGUAAUGAUUAAUAGGGAUAGUUGGGGGCAUUAGUAUUCAAUUGUCAGAGGUGAAAUUCUUGGAUUUAUUGAAGACUAACUACUGCGAAAGCAUUUGCCAAGGAUGUUUUCAUUAAUCAAGAACGAAAGUUAGGGGAUCGAAGACGAUCAGAUACCGUCGUAGU
rnacentral:rRNA from 1 species